UGAGUAACACGUAUCCAACCUGCCGUCUACUCUUGACAGCCUUCUGAAAGGAAGAUUAAUACAAGAUGGCAUCAUGAGUCCGCAUGUUCACAUGAUUAAAGGUAUUUUCCGGUAGACGAUGGGGAUGCGUUCCAUUAGAUAGUAGGCGGGGUAACGGCCCACCUAGUCAACGAUGGAUAGGGGUUCUGAGAGGAAGGUCCCCCACAUUGGAACUGAGACACGGUCCAA
rnacentral:rRNA from 1 species